CAAUUAUUUUAUGUAAUUCAGUGGGGGUGGAUGUAACAAGGUUAAAAAGAGUUCUUAAUUUAAGAGUUUUGAUGUGUGAAUUUCAUAAAAUAAGCAUUUGGUUAAAUUCAUUGGUGUUCAAAGCCUCCCCUCCUGUGGUUAUUAAUGGUACUGCAGACAGUGUAUUUUGUCGCUCUUCUCUUGCCGUACUCCAGCAGAUUUGAGUGUCGCCGCUGUGGGUAUGUAUGAUUUUUCACGCUCUAACUCAUUAACAGAUUAAUUGUAAUAAUGAUAUGUUUAAAGUGGAUCUUUUCGAUGCAAUAUCUUUCAUACAUGUAUUUGAACGUAUAUUGAAUCCAUUUAACGCUUUAACACGAUUGUUGAGGUUGUUAUAAUAUGUACUGAAUUUCCACAUGUGUCACACCAGUGUGAACGAGUUCAAUUAAAGCGGUUAUUGUCUGUCUCAACAUUGACAAUUAUUUGUAUUAUGAGUUGAGUGAAUGUGUAAUUUCUAUUUUUCUAGUCUUGAAUGUCUGCAGUAGUUUAUCUUCAGCCAAAGUGAUUUGUGCCAUUUUAUUUCCAAAAUAUUUGAGUGUCGCUGCUGUGGUCUUGAAUGUCUACAGUAGUUUAUCUUCAGCCAAAGUGAUUUGUGCCAUUUUAUUUCCAAAAGAUAAAGGCAAGCACAAGGAAA